CUAGGAUGAACGCUAGCGGCAGGCUUAACACAUGCAAGUCGAGGGGCAUCGGGAGUAGCAAUACUGCCGGCGACCGGCGCAAGGGUGCGUAACGCGUGAGCAACAUGCCCGUAUCAGGGGGAUAAUCCAUGGAAACGUGGUCUAAUACCCCAUAGUAAUUAUGUAAGGCAUCUUAUAUAAUUUAAAGCCUUGGUGGAUACGGAUUGGCUCGCGUGACAUUAGCUAGAUGGUAAGGUAACGGCUUACCAUGGCUACGAUGUCUAGGGGUUCUGAGAGGAAGGCCCCCCACACUGGAACUGAGACACGGUCCAGACUCCUACGGGAGGCAGCAGUGAGGAAUAUUGGACAAUGGAUGGAAAUCUGAUCCAGCCAUGCCGCGUGCAGGAAGACGGCCCUAUGGGUUGUAAACUGCUUUUGUAUGGGAGCAAUAAGGGCUACGCGUAGUCCGAUGAGAGUACCAUACGAAUAAGCACCGGCUAACUCCGUGCCAGCCGCAGC
rnacentral:rRNA from 1 species